UGCCGAGAUGGCGGAACUGGGAGACGCGGCGGACUCAAAAUCCGCAGUUCUGAAAGGAGCGUGGGGGUUCAACUCCCCCUCUCGGCAU
rnacentral:tRNA from 1 species